GGCGGCGUGCCUAACACAUGCAAGUCGAGCGAUCUCUUCGGAGAGAGCGGCGGACGGGUGAGUAACGCGUGGGUAACCUGCCCUGUACACACGGAUAACAUACCGAAAGGUAUACUAAUACGGGAUAACAUACGAAAGUCGCAUGGCUUUUGUAUCAAAGCUCCGGCGGUACAGGAUGGACCCGCGUCUGAUUAGCUAGUUGGUAAGGUAAUGGCUUACCAAGGCAACGAUCAGUAGCCGACCUGAGAGGGUGAUCGGCCACACUGGAACUGAGACACGGUCCAGACUCCUACGGGAGGCAGCAGUGGGGAAUAUUGCACAAUGGGCGAAAGCCUGAUGCAGCAACGCCGCGUGAGCGAUGAAGGCCUUCGGGUCGUAAAGCUCUGUCCUCAAGGAAGAUAAUGACGGUACUUGAGGAGGAAGCCCCGGCUAACUACGUGCCAGCAGCCGCGGUAAUACGUAGGGGGCUAGCGUUAUCCGGAAUUACUGGGCGUAAAGGGUGCGUAGGUGGUUUUUUAAGUCAGAAGUGAAAGGCUACGGCUCAACCGUAGUAAGCUUUUGACACUAGAGAACUUGAGUGCAGGAGAGGAGAGUAGAAUUCCUAGUGUAGCGGUGAAAUGCGUAGAUAUUAGGAGGAAUACCAGUAGCGAAGGCGGCUCUCUGGACUGUAACUGACACUGAGGCACGAAAGCGUGGGAGCAAACAGGAUUAGAUACCCUGGUAGUCCACGCCGUAAACGAUGAGUACUAUGUGUCGGGGGUUACCCCCCUCGGUGCCGCAGCUAACGCAUUAAGUACUCCGCCUGGGAAGUACGCUCGCAAGAGUGAAACUCAAAGGAAUUGACGGGGACCCGCACAAGUAGCGGAGCAUGUGGUUUAAUUCGAAGCAACGCGAAGAACCUUACCUAAGCUUGACAUCCCACUGACCUCUCCCUAAUCGGAGAUUUCCCUUCGGGGACAGUGGUGACAGGUGGUGCAUGGUUGUCGUCAGCUCGUGUCGUGAGAUGUUGGGUUAAGUCCCGCAACGAGCGCAACCCUUGCCUUUAGUUGCCAGCAUUAAGUUGGGCACUCUAGAGGGACUGCCGAGGAUAACUCGGAGGAAGGUGGGGAUGACGUCAAAUCAUCAUGCCCCUUAUGCUUAGGGCUACACACGUGCUACAAUGGGUGGUACAGAGGGUUGCCAAGCCGCGAGGUGGAGCUAAUCCCUUAAAGCCAUUCUCAGUUCGGAUUGUAGGCUGAAACUCGCCUACAUGAAGCUGGAGUUACUAGUAAUCGCAGAUCAGAAUGCUGCGGUGAAUGCGUUCCCGGGUCUUGUACACACCGCCCGUCACACCAUGGAAGUUGGGGGCGCCCGAAGCCGGUUAGCUAACCUUUUAGGAAGCGGCCGUCGAAGG
rnacentral:rRNA from 1 species